UGCAGUCGAGCGAACUGAUUAGAAGCUUGCUUCUAUGACGUUAGCGGCGGACGGGUGAGUAACACGUGGGCAACCUGCCUGUAAGACUGGGAUAACUUCGGGAAACCGAAGCUAAUACCGGAUAGGAUCUUCUCCUUCAUGGGAGAUGAUUGAAAGAUGGUUUCGGCUAUCACUUACAGAUGGGCCCGCGGUGCAUUAGCUAGUUGGUGAGGUAACGGCUCACCAAGGCAACGAUGCAUAGCCGACCUGAGAGGGUGAUCGGCCACACUGGGACUGAGACACGGCCCAGACUCCUACGGGAGGCAGCAGUAGGGAAUCUUCCGCAAUGGACGAAAGUCUGACGGAGCAACGCCGCGUGAGUGAUGAAGGCUUUCGGGUCGUAAAACUCUGUUGUUAGGGAAGAACAAGUACGAGAGUAACUGCUCGUACCUUGACGGUACCUAACCAGAAAGCCACGGCUAACUACGUGCCAGCAGCCGCGGUAAUACGUAGGUGGCAAGCGUUAUCCGGAAUUAUUGGGCGUAAAGCGCGCGCAGGCGGUUUCUUAAGUCUGAUGUGAAAGCCCACGGCUCAACCGUGGAGGGUCAUUGGAAACUGGGGAACUUGAGUGCAGAAGAGAAAAGCGGAAUUCCACGUGUAGCGGUGAAAUGCGUAGAGAUGUGGAGGAACACCAGUGGCGAAGGCGGCUUUUUGGUCUGUAACUGACGCUGAGGCGCGAA
rnacentral:rRNA from 2 species